rnacentral:rRNA from 1 species
GAUGAACGCUGGCGGCGUGCCUAAUACAUGCAAGUCGAGCGAACAGACGAGGAGCUUGCUCCUCUGACGUUAGCGGCGGACGGGUGAGUAACACGUGGAUAACCUACCUAUAAGACUGGGAUAACUUCGGGAAACCGGAGCUAAUACCGGAUAAUAUAUUGAACCGCAUGGUUCAAUAGUGAAAGACGGUUUUGCUGUCACUUAUAGAUGGAUCCGCGCCGCAUUAGCUAGUUGGUAAGGUAACGGCUUACCAAGGCAACGAUGCGUAGCCGACCUGAGAGGGUGAGCGCCCACAGUGGACCAGAGACAGGGCACAGACUCCUAGGGGAGGCGGAAGUAGGGAAUCUUCCGCAAGGGGCGAAAGCUGGACGGAGCAACGCCGCGGGAGUGAGGAGGGUCUUCGUAUCGAAAAACUCUUUUAUGGGGAAAAAAAAAAUGUGUAAGUAACUAUGCACGUCUUGACGGUACCUAAUCAGAAAGCCACGUCUAACUACGUG